rnacentral:rRNA from 1 species
GAUGAACGCUGGCGGCGUGCCUAAUACAUGCAAGUCGAGCGAAUGGAUUAAGAGCUUGCUCUUAUGAAGUUAGCGGCGGACGGGUGAGUAACACGUGGGUAACCUGCCCAUAAGACUGGGAUAACUCCGGGAAACCGGGGCUAAUACCGGAUAACAUUUUGAACCGCAUGGUUCGAAAUUGAAAGGCGGCUUCGGCUGUCACUUAUGGAUGGACCCGCGUCGCAUUAGCUAGUUGGUGAGGUAACGGCUCACCAAGGCAACGAUGCGUAGCCGACCUGAGAGGGUGAUCGGCCACACUGGGACUGAGACACGGCGCAGACUCCUACGGGAGGCAGCAGUAGGGAAUCUUCCGCAAUGGACGAAAGUCUGACGGAGCAACGCCGCGUGAGUGAUGAAGGCUUUCGGGUCGUAAAACUCUGUUGUUAGGGAAGAACAAGUGCUAGUUGAAUAAGCUGGCACCUUGACGGUACCUAACCAGAAAGCCACGGCUAACUACGUGCCAGCCGCCGCAGUAAGAC